GUCCGCUUAGCUCAGUUGGCAGAGCAUUGCCCUCCUAAGGCAGGGGUCAGGGGUUCAAGUCCCUUAGUGGACG
rfam:Trachipleistophora hominis chromosome Tnknown scaffold00300, whole genome shotgun sequence.